GUGAUUGUAGCUCAGUUGGUUAGAGCGCCAGAUUGUGGUUCUGGAGGUCGUCGGUUCGAUCCCGAUCAGUCACCCUA
rnacentral:tRNA from 1 species